rnacentral:rRNA from 1 species
UACGUAGGGGGCAAGCGUUAUCCGGAUUUACUGGGUGUAAAGGGAGCGUAGACGGCCUUGCAAGUCUGGUGUGAAAGCCCGGGGCUCAACCCCGGGACUGCAUUGGAAACUGGUAGACUUGAGUGCAGGAGAGGAGAGUGGAAUUCCAUGUGUAGCGGUGAAAUGCGUAGAUAUAUGGAGGAACACCGGUGGCGAAAGCGGGUCUCUGGCCUGUAACUGACACUGAGGCUCGAAAGCGUGGGGAGCAAACAGG